rnacentral:rRNA from 1 species
ACACUCUGCGGGAGGCAGCAGUGGGGAAUAUUGCACAAUGGGCGCAAGCCUGAUGCAGCCAUGCCGCGUGUAUGAAGAAGGCCUUCGGGUUGUAAAGUACUUUCAGCGGGGAGGAAGGCAAUACGGUUAAUAACCGUGUUGAUUGACGUUACCCGCAGAAGAAGCACCGGCUAACUCCGUGCCAGCAGCCGCGGUAAUACGGAGGGUGCAAGCGUUAAUCGGAAUUACUGGGCGUAAAGCGCACGCAGGCGGUCUGUCAAGUCGGAUGUGAAAUCCCCGGGCUCAACCUGGGAACUGCGUUCGAAACUGGCAGGCUUGAGUCUUGUAGAGGGGGGUAGAAUUCCAGGUGUAGCGGUGAAAUGCGUAGAGAUCUGGAGGAAUACCGGUGGCGAAGGCGGCCCCCUGGACAAAGACUGACGCUCAGGUGCGAAAGCGUGGGGAGCAAACAGGAUUAGAUACCCGAGUAGUCCC